rnacentral:lncRNA from 1 species
ACUAUCAAUAAAAAAUAUAAUUCUCCAUCUACAACCAGAAAAAAGAAAAACUAUAAACAUAUAAAUUUAAAUUAAGAAAAACUAACAUUGGAAAAACAAAAAAUUAAUGUAAAAGAAACAAACCGACAAAUAAUAUUAUAAAUAAAAUAAAUUUAUAAGACACAAUCCGCGCGAAGCGCGGAAAAAAUCUCUAGUCAUGUAUAAAAG